rnacentral:rRNA from 1 species
UGGAUCCAGACUUUGCUUCUGGCUCAGGACGAACGCUGGCGGCGCGCCUAACACGUGCAAGUCGAACGAGCAAAGAGGAGCUUGCUUCUCUGAGCGAGUGGCGAACGGGUGAGUAACGCGUGAGGAACCUGCCUCAAAGAGGGGGACAACAGUUGGAAACGACUGCUAAUACCGCAUAAGCCCACGGGUCGGCAUCGACCAGAGGGAAAAGGAGCAAUCCGCUUUGAGAUGGCCUCGCGUCCGAUUAGCUAGUUGGUGAGGUAAUGGCCCACCAAGGCGACGAUCAGUAGCCGGACUGAGUGGUUGAACGGCCACAUGGGACUGAGACACGGCCCAGACUCCUACGGGAGGCAGCAGUGGGGAAUAUUGCACAAUGGGGGAAACCCUGAUGCAGCGACGCCGCGUGGAGGAAGAAGGUCCUCGGAUUGUAAACUCCUGUUGUUGAGGAAGAUAAUGACGGUACUCAACAAGGAAGUGACGGCUAACUACGUGCCAGCAGCCGCGGUAAAACGUAGGUCACAAGCGUUGUCCGGAAUUACUGGGUGUAAAGGGAGCGCAGGCGGGAAGACAAGUUGGAAGUGAAAUCCAUGGGCUCAACCCAUGAACUGCUUUCAAAACUGUUUUUCUUGAGUAGUGCAGAGGUAGGCGGAAUUCCCGGUGUAGCGGUGGAAUGCGUAGAUAUCGGGAGGGACACCAGUGGCGAAGGCGGCCUACUGGGCACCAACUGACGCUGAGGCUCGAAAGUGUGGGUAGCAAACAGGAUUAGAUACCCUGGUAGUCCACACCGUAAACGAUGAUUACUAGGUGUUGGAGGAUUGACCCCUUCAGUGCCGCAGUUAACACAAUAAGUAAUCCACCUGGGGAGUACGACCGCAAGGUUGCAAACUCAAAUGAAUUGACGGA